GAGCUUGUGGAAAUAGAGACAGGAAAGAGAGGUGAAUUGAAGGAUUUCUUAUACAAGUACUGGCCAGAUACAUUGGAGGUAGACUUAGGAUCAUACGUGGAGGAUUGAAAGGGAUUUUAAGAGCAGAACAAAAUCCAAAGCUAUUUGCUGACAGUUGCUUACCUGUAACAACUGUAAUAUUAACAUUUGAUGAAGGGAUAAAAAGUAUUUACGUAUUUAGUACAGAUAAUGUUAAAACUGCUCUGAUUUUGGACUCCUUUAUUCAAAGUGACACAAUAUUUGUCGGCACUGAAGAACUUCUGAAGCAAGUAAACUUGGAAAAGGUCCUACCAAAGUGUCAUAUUACUAAACCUUUCUUUCGAUACAUUUACAAAGUUGAAGCUGACACUGCCAGUGUGCAAGAAGUGACAAGAUCAGUUCCUGGAGGAUACAAGGCUGACAGCAUUCAUUCAUCUGACAUUGAGUUUGUUAUUUCAAUGUGGACACCAGCAGCAACAUCCGACAAAAUGAAAUACAGAAUGAGAAACUACAUUACCAAUGGUUCAACUGCUGCAGUUUAUGACACAAAAGUGCAACCAAAUCAACUCGUGUCCUGGAUAGUGUCCUCUGAAAUUGGCAUACUUUUCCACUUAUACACGUUAGAAGAGCAUCGUGGUAAAGGACUUGGUAGUAUAGUUGUGGAAGGCAUAACUCAAAAGUUGCUUGUUAAAGGUAUUACUCCAGUCUCGUAUAUUUUCGCUGACAAUGCUGCAAGUAGCAUCAUCUUUACAAAGUGUGGCUACGAAAAAGAAGGAUCAAGUUUAGUUCGUCUGGUACCAGAUAAAGUUAUAUAACUUAGCACUCCAACUUUUUAUAAUAAUUGUUAUAUGUUUUUAUUAUAAUAAGUAAUCUAAUGGUCAAUAAUUGUCAGCUUUAAGACAAAAAUUUUAAUGAACUUUAUUUUGAUUUAUAUAUCAUUAAAGAACACAUUAAUAGCAG
rnacentral:misc_RNA from 1 species